GGACGAACGCUGGCGGCGUGCUUAACCCAUGCAAGUCGAACGGAAAGGCCCUGCUUUUGUGGGGUGCUCGAGUGGCGAACGGGUGAGUAACACGUGAGUAACCUGCCCUUGACUUUGGGAUAACUUCAGGGAACUGGGGCUAAUACCGGAUAGGAGCUCCUGCUGCAUGGUGGGGGUUGGAAAGUUUCGGCGGUUGGGGAUGGACUCGCGGCUUAUCAGCUUGUUGGUGGGGUAGUGGCUUACCAAGGCUUUGACGGGUAGCCGGCCUGAGAGGGUGACCGGCCACAUUGGGACUGAGGUACGGCCCAGACUCCUACGGAAGGCAGCAGUGGGGAAUAUUGCACAAUGGGCGGAAGCCUGAUGCAGCAACGCCGCGUGCGGGAUGACGGCCUUCGGGUUGUAAACCGCUUUCGCCUGUGACGAAGCGUGAGUGACGGUAAUGGGUAAAGAAGCACCGGCUAACUACGUG
rnacentral:rRNA from 1 species